rnacentral:ncRNA from 1 species
UUAGUUUUACUUUCCCUUCUUACCUUACUUACCAUUAGACAAACGUUGGAUUGUUCACCCACCAACAGGGAACGUGAACUGGUAUUAGACCGUCGUGAGACCGGUU